AUGGGGAAUCUAUAAAGCUCAGGAGGGAUAGCACCAUGAAUACAUCUUAAUGGCUAUCUAUAGCGCUAUCCAUCCUGAGUUUUAUGGCUUCUUCAU
rnacentral:pre_miRNA from 1 species